rnacentral:rRNA from 1 species
GAACGCUGGCGGCGUGUCCUGAGACAUGCAAGUCGUGGGAGAAAGUCGUAGCAAUACGGCAAGUAAACCGGCGCACGGGUGAGUAACACGUGGAUAACCUGCCUUAGAGUCUGGGAUAACCCGUCGAAAGACGAGCUAAUACCGGAUAAGACCACGGGAAGUUCGCUUCCUGAGGUAAAAGAUGGCCUCUGCUCCUGCAAGCUAUCACUUUGAGAGGGGUCCGCGUCCUAUCAGCUAGUUGGCGAGGUAACGGCUCACCAAGGCUAAGACGGGUAGCUGGUCUGAGAGGAUGGUCAGCCGGACUGGGACUGAGACACGGCCCAGACUCCUACGGGGGGCAGCAAUUAGGAAUCUUGCGCAAUGGGCGAAAGCCUGACGCAGCGACGCCGCGUGACUGAUGAAGUCUUUCGGGAUGUAAAGGUCUUU